UGCAUCCUUCGGGGCAGGGUGAAAUUCCCGACCGGCGGUGAUAAAAGCUUUUAAGCUUUUUUAGCCCGUGACCCGCAUUGGCGGAACGCCUUUGCGGUGGAUCUGGUGAAAAUCCAGAGCCGACAGUAUAGUCUGGAUGGGAGAAGGAUCAC
rnacentral:ncRNA from 1 species